rnacentral:rRNA from 1 species
ACAUGAAGCUGGAAUCGCUAGUAAUCGCGAAUCAGAAUGUCGCGGUGAAUACGUUCCCGGGUCUUGUACACACCGCCCGUCACACCAUGGGAGUCGGAAAUGCCCGAAGUCAGUGACCCAACCGCAAGGAGGGAGCUGCCGAAGGUGGAGCCGGUAACUGGGGUGAAGUCGUAACAAGGUAAC